GGGGGGGAGACGCAGGUCAAAGGUUACAGGGACGAAGGAGGACCGAAGCGAAGAUGCCUAUGUUUGGGAAAAGAACACUCUUCCAGUGGUUCCGGUUUGCCUGGGAGAGGGAGCCUGUGGUAGUCGCGGCCUGUGUGGUGGGACUACUCCCUCCCUUUGGUAUUCUCUUCAUGCCUGAUAGCUGGAGAGAAGAUGUGAUGAGAAGACAACGCAUGGUAACAACCAGAUACCCAGUUCCAGUGAGAGAUGAAGGAGAUGACACCAAAGCUUAGUGACGCCCCCUAGUUGCCAGAAGGUGUACAACACCCACACUGCAUCUGUAACCUAACCAUGUGUGCUACUUUACUCUGUACCGCCAACCAAAAACAACAUGAUAAUGCUGUAUUGUGUAUAUAAUGCUGUAGACUUGGUAGAAACAUUCAGUCAUUCACAGGAUGUGUUGCCCUGGUUCUUGAGUUUGCCAUCCUACUUGAAACUGUCAAAGUCCAUGAGUGGAAAUUUGUUGUCCCCUUGAAAGAUGUAAUAAAGGAAGUAUAGAAGACUGA